rnacentral:ncRNA from 1 species
GGCAGCCCUUUAACACCGGGGCUAAGGGUCAAGUUGGUUAUUUUUCUUACAUCCCCCCCCCCGGGGGCCCAGGUAUCAUAUACACCGCCAAAAUAAAGAGCCUUGAGUACUAGAAGAAAAU